AGGCGAUGUCUCCUUGCCUGUAUCAAUGGAGGCACUCGGCCAUGCUGUGGGUUGUCUUAAUAAAUAACCUUAGACGCGAGUCGUCGGUGGUGUGGCGUGAGGGCGGGUUGAAUGCCCA
rfam:Halobacillus halophilus DSM 2266 complete genome